GGAGCUCUUCAUGUUGACAUCUAUAUUGGCUAAAGAAGUUAUCACGUGUUCGGUUUCCUCUUCAUAGUCUUUGUUAUUCUAAUAAUCACUCAUGCCAAGAUAGUAAUCGUGCUCUGCAACUUUCAGCUAUGCAGCGAAGAUUAUAACUGGUGGCGGAGAGCCUACUUGACCUUCCCUGUGUCAACUGAUUUCUAUAUGCAUGCUUGUGGUUUGUGAGUGAGAUCUACUCUUCUGUGAAGAUUGACUAGUCCAUGUGGCCAUGGUAACUGACACUAGAACCGGUUGAAGAUUAGAAGGAAAGGAAAUUGCUG
rnacentral:misc_RNA from 1 species